UUCCUGGAAGAACUUUCCCCUGAAGAUGGCAACGUCUACUUGAACCAUUGACAUUCCUCUGCAUGAGUGCAAGUCGCAGCAAAAGUGGAGGAAUUAGAUGGAGAAGUUUUGCAGAGUUGAGAUACUCCCUUUCGUUUUGCCUGGACAGAGUGAUCCACAGCAAGAAGCACCCGCUUCUGCUGGUCCCUUUGGUGGCGUUGAAACGUUGGCUCUGUUGAAAGAAAAGAGGAAACGUUGCCCAGAUGGCCCUGCUGGGUUUGUUUGCACUCCUUUCUUGCUGCUUCUCGAAGGCAAACCAAGGCAGAGGAUACACAGGUUGGCCAGAUUGAAAACGACUAAUGCACAGUGUUGGCAGUGGAGUCCUUAACGCUGGAACCCCACUUUUCCCACUCAGCUAGGCAGGAUACUCUAAGAUGUUCUAAAGGACCCUAAAUUGUCAUCUUACCCUGGCAGCAGUCAUUUCUGAAGAGCAGACACCAUAAAACAGGAAUUAUAAGUGCUUCAAACGCUGUUGGCUGCAGAGUCUAGUCUUCUGCUAACACAAUAAGGAAAAUGUUUCUCAAAGAGCAAAAUGAAAAGAAAUUAAGACUUCUCUGUUGCUCGUCAAGGCACAUCACAGCUUUCUCUGUCAGUUAGAAGAGAAAAAAAUGAAGCACAGCAGAUUUGGCAUAUUGUGGGGCUAUAGCUGGAAAUCUCAGAAGGAAGGCCAGUUUCCUCAGGAUCCUCAAAAACGCAUGUACAGAGACUCCAGCUUGCUGGUGGCCUUUCACACAGAGCACUAACUGCAUAUCGCCUUCUUGUGAUGGUCCUAUUCCAGCAAGGGUCAUCACAAAAUCACAGUUCUACUGUGCAAAAAUAUUUUCAUUAGUGUCCCUUUUCAGACCAGUGCUACCUGUAGCACUGUGGCGGGUAGGAGCUGACUAUAUGCAAGGCUGCAUGAAAACAAGUUGUAUCAGGGCGCUCUUCUGCUGUAGAGCUGCCUUCACUCGUUAACCCCAACGUGGUCUUUUAAGCAGUCGGUAGCAUUUGUCUGUGUUCGUUUCAUGAGUUUUAGCAUGGCAUUAGUGAGCACUAUCAUCCCCACUCAUAGGUAUAUACUACUUUUCAGCUUACACUUUUAAAAUACUUUAACAUACAUUAGGAAAAAAGUUGGGUUUUUAGGGAAGAAAGGUGAGUUUUUAGCAUGACCUAUAAUAGCAGUUACAGUCACUCAACAAUGUUUGGUUGAAAGAUUUGUUUUUUUUUUUUUUUUUAUAUAUAUCUAGGAUUAUAUGGUCCUUUGCAAACAUUAUUUUCUGUGGUAAAAU